rnacentral:rRNA from 1 species
UACAGAGGUGGCAAGCGUUGUUCGGAAUUACUGGGCGUAAAGGGCGCGUAGGCGGCCUUGUAAGUCCUGUGUGAAAUCCCCCGGCUCAACUGGGGAACUGCACAGGAGACUGCUUGGCUUGAGUUCGGGAGAGGGAAGCGGAAUUCCGGGUGUAGCGGUGAAAUGCGUAGAUAUCCGGAGGAACACCGGUGGCGAAGGCGGCUUCCUGGACCGACACUGGACGCUGAGGCGCGAAAGCCAGGGGAGCAAACGGG